rnacentral:rRNA from 1 species
UCAUAUGCUUGUCUCAAAGAUUAAGCCAUGCAUGUCUAAGUACUUGCCGCAAUAAGGCGAAACCGCGAAUGGCUCAUUAAAUCAGUUACGGUUCCUUAGAUUUUGACUGUCUACAUGGAUAACUGUGGUAAUUCUAGAGCUAAUACAUGCACCAAAGCCCCGACGGGCGGCCUUCUCUCACGGGUUGGUUUAGCCUGAAUGGGCGCAUUUAUUAGGCCAAAAAGACCAAUAGUUUCGUCGGCUCUUCACGGGGUCUGACGGGACUUCCUUGGUGGUGACUCUGGAUAACUGCGCUGAUCGCAUGGCCUACGAGCCGGCGACAUAUCUUUCAAGUGUCUGCCUUAUCAACUGUCGAUGGUAGGUUAUGCGCCUACCAUGGUUGUAACGGGUAACGGGGAAUCAGGGUUCGAUUCCGGAGAGGGAGCCUGAGAAACGGCUACCACAUCCAAGGAAGGCAGCAGGCACGCAAAUUACCCACUCCCGGCACGGGGAGGUAGUGACGAAAAAUAACAAUACGGGACUCUAAUGAGGCCCCGUAAUUGGAAUGAGUACAAUUUAAAUCCUUUAACGAGGAUCUAUUGGAGGGCAAGUCUGGUGCCAGCAGCCGCGGUAAUUCCAGCUCCAAUAGCGUAUAUUAAAGUUGUUGCGGUUAAAAAGCUCGUAGUUGGAUCUCAGCCUUAGUCCGAUCUGGUCCGCCUAUCUGUGUGGUUACUGGUCGGCUGGGCAAAAAUUAUGGGGCCGUGAGCCGGCUCGUCGGCUGUAACAGGUUGGCGGGUGUCUGGUUUUCGCGGUCCCGAAAGGAGGUGAACUAACAGUGGUCUUAACCGAUCGUUGUUAGAGUUUCUCUCCCCGUUUACUUUGAAAAAAUUAGAGUGCUCAAAGCAGCCGUUACACGGCCGAAUAAUGUUGCAUGGAAUAAUGGAAUAGGAUCUCGGUUCUAUUUCUGUUGGUCUUCGGAGCCUGAGAUAAUGAUUAAGAGGGACAGACGGGGGCAUUCGUAUUGCGACGCUAGAGGUGAUAUUCUUGGACCGUCGCAAGACGAACUAAAGCGAAAGCAUUUGCCAAGAAUGUUUUCAUUAAUCAAGAACGAAAGUUAGAGGUUCGAAGGCGAUCAGAUACCGCCCUAGUUCUAACCAUAAACGAUGCCAACCAGCAAUCCGCCUGAGUUUUCUUUUAAAUGACUCGGCGGGCGGCUUCCGGGAAACCAAAGUGUUUCGGUUCCGGGGGAAGUAUGGUUGCAAAGCUGAAACUUAAAGGAAUUGACGGAAGGGCACCACCAGGACUGGAGCCUGCGGCUUAAUUUGACUCAACACGGGGAAACUCACCCGGCCCGGACACUGGAAGGAUUGACAGAUUGAGAGCUCUUUCUUGAUUCAGUGGGUGGUGGUGCAUGGCCGUUCUUAGUUGGUGGAGCGAUUUGUCUGGUUAAUUCCGAUAACGAACGAGACUCUAGCCUAUUAAAUAGAUGUGGCAGGCCAGUUAACACUUGUCCUGCCAAGACUUCUUAGAGGGACAGGCGGCGAUUCAGCCGCAUGAAAAAGAGCAAUAACAGGUCUGUGAUGCCCUUAGAUGUCCGGGGCUGCACGCGCGCUACACUGAAAAGAUCAGCGUGCACAGAAAAGCCUGGUCCGACAGGACUGGGUAACCCAAUGAACCUUUUUCGUGAUUGGGAUUGGAGAUUGUAAUUAUUGUCCAUGAACGAGGAAUUCCCAGUAAGCGCGAGUCAUCAGCUCGCGUUGAUUACGUCCCUGCCCUUUGUACACACCGCCCGUCGCUACUACCGAUUGAAUGAUUUAGUGAGGUCUUCGGAUUGGCCAGUUUUCUCGGUUUCGGCCGGGAGAAUGGCGCUGAAAAGAUGCCCAAACUUGAUUAUUUAGAGGAAGUAAAAGUCGUAACAAGGUUUCCGU